GUAAUACUCCCUCCGUCCCAAAAUUCUUGUCUUAAAUUUGUCUAGAUAUGGAUGUAUCUAACACUAAAACUUAACUAGAUACAUCCAUAUUUAGACAUAUCUAAGACAAGAAUUUUGGGACAAAGGGAGUAGGAA
rfam:Triticum aestivum genome assembly, contig: Triticum_aestivum_CS42_TGACv1_scaffold_320276_4BL